rnacentral:rRNA from 1 species
GACGUAGGCGCAAGCGUUGUCCGGAUUUAUUGGCGUUAAAGAGCUCGUAGGCGGCUUGUCGCGUUCGGACUGUAGAAAACCCCGCGGCUCAACUGCGGGCCUGCAGCCGAUACGGGCAGGCUAGAGUCCGGAAGAGGAGAAUGGAAUUCCCGGUGUAGCGGUGAAAUGCGCAGAUAUCGGGAAGAACACCCGUGGCGAAGGCGGUCUCUGGGACGGUACUGACGCUGAGACGCGAACGUGG